rnacentral:rRNA from 1 species
AAUGAACGUUGGCGGCGUGGAUUAGGCAUGCAAGUCGAACGCUUCAUGUAGCAAUACAUGAGGAGUGGCGUAAGGGAGAGUAAUACAUAGUUAGCUGCCCUCGGGUCUGGGAUAGCGGCGGGAAACUGCCGGUAAUACCAGAUGAUAUCUUCGGAUCAAAGGUGUAAUUUCGCCCGAGGAGGUGACUGUGUCCUAUCAGCUUGUUGGG